UGGCUGUCUUCAAGUGUUGUAGGAACGGGAAAAAAAAAAAAAAAGAUAAUUACCAGAGUUACACGAUGUGAAAUGAUUGAUCCUAUCCAGGCCAUGGGGAUCACAAAUGGCUAGCAGGGUACACAUGGGAACCAGGAGAACCAUUUCACUUCGGGGAUAGACUUUAGCUAGGAGUACGAGUGAUCUGCUGGCUGAUCGGUGUGCCCAGUACGAGCAUGGUAUUACCAGCUCUGCUGCUGGCCUACACUGCCAGUGCUGCGCAGGAGCACGUCAAUGGUCAGUGGGAAAUGCAAGACAAAAUCCUUCCCAGGAGACAGAGUCACAGGGAACAAGCCUAACAAGGAGUAGUCCAGGAGGAGAAGGGGGUGGGACAUGAUCCUCUUUCCAGAUCACAAGUUCUCUAAGGACCCGCUGGGAUCUUUAGUGCUAGAACUGCCCACAGGAUCUGCUCCAGAUCCAGGCGGACUGGGUCGAUUUCGUCUCGUCCAGGUACUUCUCAGCUGAAUAAUACCAAAGACCCCAGCACCUGACCAAACAUUCACUCUGGCAAGAUGGCCGUCACCAGGCCACAGGAAAGGAACGGGGCAGAUCUUUCUUUCUGAAGAAGAAAGGAGGGAGCAGUUGCAGGAAUGGACGGACCUUCCAAAUCACUGUCACCAAUACAUGCGGCUAAACAAAGGGGAAAAAGAAAGCUCCAGGCACCCGGACUUCCGAGAGACUCACCCGGAGACACUGCUUCCGUGGGUUGGUCAGCAGAACCACUUGCUGUUGUUUCUCUGGAGAGGAGUUUCUGAUUUGAAACCAUCACAAAGCUCAGAGCUGCCUGGGAACUCGGAAGGAGGAGGCGCCUGGCUGCAGGUGUGCCACAUAGGUACAGACACACUGAGCCUGGGCCAAUUUCUGCAAAGGAUGAGGACCAAUUGAAAAGACACAAAGUAAAGAAGUCAAGCCAAGGUUGACAUUUAUCCAGACAACAAGAGCCAGCAGGGUCAGCUCUUCUGAAAUCCACCCAACGGCCAUGAUGCCACUCUCUGGGGUACAGUGGUGUGUAUGUGUGUGUCUGUGUCUGUGUGUCCACAGUAGAAGUAGCUUUCUGUCCACGGUGGAGUCAUCGAAGUCUUCUAGUGGAGCACUGGGUCCGUGGUUAAGAGCACCCGCUACCCUUCUAGAGCUCAGUUCUCAGCACCCACAUCAGGCAGCUCAGCCUAUGACCCCAGCUCCAGCGGAUCUCAUGCCUCCACAGAUCCCUGCACUCACAUGUACACAUACCUCCUCCACACGCACACACGGAAUUAAAGAUGAAAUAAAUCCCCAAACCUUCCAGGUCUGACAACACCACUGUCUCAGUGAAUUCAUACAGAUAUAUCCACGAGACCGAAGGGUUGAGACCAGUUAUUAAAGACCACUGGACCCAGAGUGCUGGAAAUAACUAUUCUACCUCACCUGCUUGAAUCAGGAUUCUUCCAGGUCAUGGCCAUAGAAGGAGGUUGGAAAGAGAAAGUUCGAUUUUAGAAAGACCUGACUCUGCCUUGGUGCAUUACUCCCUGUUCUCCUUUAUCGGGGCCAGGAGGUGAGGACUCAGUGUGGAAUUUGCAGAUUUCUUGAAGUCCAUGCUCCAACUGGCACAAGAGAAGGAAGCCCUCCAUGUUUGCCUGCCCUCUUUUCCUGCCACCCAGGCUCUGCUUCACAGGGGGAGAAGCCUCCGAUGCAAGUGAGUGGAGCCAACAGACACAUCUGUAACCCAUCUGUACCCAGCCCUCUGCAGCCGACCCUGGCCACCACCAGAUCUAGAGAUUUCCAUGCUGUUCUGGCACUGAAUGGAUGAACGGAGGAAUCUCACAAGGCCCUCGAUACGGAUUCUGAAGUUCAAACGGGACAUUCUAAAAGGGUGUGCCGAAAGGGCCAUACACCCUUCUGGACUGGAAUGCACUGUAGGAGAACAUAUCCUUUCUAUCAUCUAUCUACCU
rnacentral:sRNA from 1 species